CUUUCACGUCCUGCCAGUUGGGCUGUGAAGGCUUAAAUCAAUAAACAUGGCUAAGCAUGUAGAUCUGCAGAUGGAUUGCUGACGGACGCGGGUUCGAUUCCCGCCGGCUCCACCA
rnacentral:tmRNA from 1 species